AAAAGAAAACGAGUUCGAGGUCCUAAAAACUGGGAGUUCCUGAUCCGGCUCUUGGCAGACAAGCGAACGAAUCCAUCUUUGAUUCGCUGGGAAGACGAGUCCAAGGCGACCUUCCGCUUGGUCCAGCCUGACAAAAUUGCGCAGAUGUGGUCAUCAAGAACUCCAGAUUCUCCUCCUUUAACUUAUAACAACUUCGCUAGAGGCCUCAGAUACCACUAUAAUAGAGGUGCUCUGCGACCAGUGUCAGAGAAGCAGCUGGUGUACCAAUGCGGGCCCAAGGCGCUCCAGUUCCUGAUCGACCUGCGCAAGGCGGCCUCGUGAUAGAG
rnacentral:lncRNA from 1 species